rnacentral:rRNA from 1 species
GACGAACGCUGGCGGCGCGCCUAACACAUGCAAGUCGAACGAGCGAGAGCUACCUUGCUUUCUUGAUCGAGUGGCGAACGGGUGAGUAACGCGUGAGGAACCUGCCUCAAAGUUGGGGAUAACUGCUGGAAACUACUGCUAAUACCGCAUAAGCCCACGUUCUCCCUUGUCACUGAUGGAAAAGGAGCAAUCCGCUUUGAGAUGGCGCCGCGUCCGAUUAGCUAGUUGGUGAGGUAACUGCCCACCAAGGCGACGAACGGUCGCCGAGCUGAGAAGUGGAACGGCCACAUUGGGAAUGAGACACAGACCAGAAUGCUACGGGAGGGAGGAGUAGAGAAUAUUGAGCGAUGGGGGAAACUGUGAUAAAGCGACGCGGCGGGGAGGAAGAAGGGGUUCGGAUUGUAAAUUCCUGUUGGUGGGGAAGAGAAUGACGGUAACGAACAAGGAAGUGACGGCUAACUACGUG